rnacentral:misc_RNA from 1 species
CUUCUUUAUGUGCUCAGCUACAUCCUUCUGUACAUUGAGCUUCUUGAAUGCGGCGAUAGCAAUAUCGACGGCCUCUUUCUGCAUGUCAUCUUUCAUGUCAGCGUUCUUGAUGAUGAUUUUCUUGGGGGUGGGAGCUGUAUCCAGAGAGACUUUCCGAUCAUCAGAGGUGAUGCUUCUACUGGGUUCUUCAGUACUCAUUAUUUUUGUUGGUUUGGUUGCUUAAUUUCCUCUGAGAUGAAACUAUUGGGUUCUGAUUUAGCUGAAGUGAAAGAAAGAAGAGAACAGUUUCUGUGUCCCACUCUGUGACAAGCGAGAAAGUGUUUUUCAUUCUUCGAAUGACUUCA